ensembl:lncRNA
GUUGGGUACCGCAAGAGCAGCAGCGGCGGGAGCGGAGCGGAGCUCUGCCCGUAGCAACGCCGCGCUUACGGGCGGCCCCGGGCAGGCAGGCCGCGAGACAGCGUGCAGAAAGUAACAGAGAUGUGGGGGAGGUUUGCCGGGCACGUUUACCGCAAAGGCUGCUCAGCUUCCCCUGGGUUACCUCCUGCCUGGGGCAGGCUUUAAGAAUUGCAUCAGCAGGAGAGCGCCCCAAACGCAGCCACUGCCGCCGCAGAGCAACGCGCACCUCCGGCCCCGGGAGCGCCGCGGCAGGGCGCCUGCAUAUGGCCCUGGCCGAGCAGAGCCGCUCAGGUCUGAGGAGCGGCUGCCUGUGGCACAAGGACACGACAGAUCCUCCCCGAGUGGCUCGCGCUGCUCCCUGUGCCACGCUGCCUGCACCGCCAGCCCAUCAAACCAGGCCUCCACACGUCUUCGUGGUCCCAGCUGAGCUCAGACUGCUGCUCUGCACAAUGAAUCCUUUUGUUGGUGUCUCUGUGAAGCCCAAUGAAUGCAAGGGGAUUUGAUGAUUCACAGUUAUUCUGCCAGCUUACAAAGAAUACACCAAGCCUGUUAAACAAAUAAUUUACCUAGCCUCGGCCUGCAACACAGAAGAGCGUUCUGAGCUUCGAGCAGCCAUAAGGGCCAAAGAGCAGGCAGAGGCAGCAGCUCUGCUGCAGAAGAAGCACCCUGCGUGGUGCCGAGGGCAAGCGGUGAGGUGCACAGCAGCCACACGUCCCCACUGCUCCAUCAGGGCCGGCAGAGCUCAGCUGCAGCACGGGGGCAGAGAAAGCUGUGCUGGGACCUGGUGCAUGUGGGUAUAUGGAGCACAGGACUCCUGAGGGGUUCUGCCCACAUGAGAUGCGUGUGGGGCCUCUGGAGAGGAGCUGAGCAGGGCUGGGAUCUGUUCUAGGGAGCUGGCUGUGGAAAAGGAGAAAGCAACAACUCAGUGAUUGGGGAGGAGUGUCUGCAGCGUGCUACUGGCUGCAGGAAAUCACCUGCCAAAGGUUCAGGACAUAAACUCAGAUUAUCACAGGGAACUUGGACAAUGCCCCCGUUGAUGCGCUGCUGCUCAGCACCCUGCAGACUAAGCCUGUGUCUGUUGCUCCUAACACACAUGUUGGGCAAUACAUUUGGCCCUCCAUCAAAGCACAGGGUUGGCAGAACCCCUCCGCGCUGCCGGGUACCUGCGGCCAGCAGCAGUGCGCUCCACAGCUGGGCUGUGUCCCAGGGACGGCUCCGGCUUCCUCAGCACGUCGGUUCCAUGGGGUGGGCCCUGAGGUCGGCGUCCUGCAGCUGAGGAUGUAAGGAUGCAAAACAGCUUUCACCAAAACGAUCUGCAGUACAAGGUGAAAGAAAAGAAACAAAAAGCAAACAUGAAGUGACAUAAUAGUCAGGGUCUUCUGCUACUAAACAUAUCCAUAAAAAUAAAGAAGCACCAAUAUCUGAGGAAAAAUCAUCUGGUCAGAAAUUAAUGACCUUCGCUAAAUAAAGUCUAAGGCUGUUUGUGGGAUUUGUACUUAAAGCAGCUUUCUAAGAGGAAGGAUCUGAUUAUAAUUCACUUUGUGACACCUUCAGCACAGAAUUUUUGCAUGAAGAAUGGCAUGGGAUGGGAUUUAAUCGUAAUAAGUACUUCAAGCUUGAGGGAUAGAGAACCCAGCGGUAACUAUGGCAACGUGGUCACUCCAGUACGGCUAAUGCAGAUUACUUCCAGGGCAAUAGCCUUGUGUGUGCUCGGGAAGCAGAGGUAAUGUUUGCUUAAAGCAAUUCCUAAAUUAAGGAAAAUUCUUGAGGUCGAAGCUGCCCUGCACUCUUUGUUCCCAGCGUCAGACUGUCAGUGCUUCGUGUUGUGCCCGCCAUGCACG